CCUGCGCCGUUCCCGUGUCCACAAGCAAGUACUUCUUCUUCCCCAACCACACACCGGACCAGGAAUUCCAGUGCCUGAUAAAUCCUGUAGCAGCCGCAAGUAAACCCCCCUGAUCCGCCGGAGCUGUAGAGGGCUAACUGGGGAGAAAGACCCUCUCGUCUGAAGGCAAAAUGUCCACCAAGGACCCCGGCGACGAUCUAGUUGUUGACGCGGCACCAACGUCGGCGGCGGAGUGCAGAUCCGACCAGAACUGCUUGAAGGAGGGGGAAGCCAUGCUCAUGUUCAAUUCAGUGCCAGGGGAGGACGAACCAGAUGCCCAAUCUUGUGUACCUCGAUCCCCGGUGACGGUGGAUGGGCCUCCAAGUCCAAGGGAUUCAUCCAGCGGGGCGUCGGCGUGUACAUCAGUGGACGGCUAACUAGCUAAACUAUCUGGAUUUGAAGCCGGCCUACGAUGAUUUUGAAUCUCUAAAGCAAUGGGCAGCUGCGGGUGGUCUUCUUCCUACUCCACCUCUCCUUAAAUAGUGAUCGCCGGUAAAAAUGAACGUUGCCGCCCGUUAUACAGUGCGGAUUCGCUUCUCCAUGGUCGAACGGUCGGGUUCGUCCUGCUGUACGAACAGUUUGGCUGCAGGUGGUGUCGGCCAUGGACCAGCUAGGUGUGCUGUACAUCGGCGCGUAUACUAGGAUUAUACCUGACUUAUGUGAAUAAAUGGCUUAGUGGUCCAUGUUGUUGCACGAAUCCUGAGUUAAUUACAGCCUUGGAUGCGGCCGGCUCAAAUGCCCGGCGGUUCAACUAAGAGUUUUCCCUA